AUGCUCGAAUUUGAGGAUGAGAAGGUGUUGGGCAAGAUGACUGCUGAGAAUUUAAGGAUGUAUUACAAAUUUCGUACGGAGCUAUUAAAGAUGGAAGCCAGCUUACGCGAGUUCCGGGAGCAGAAUGAAAAGGAUGACCUGAGGUGGGAGCAGGAAUUCACAGAAUCAGACAAAGAGGAGAUGGAGAUGGAGGACAGGUUGUUUUCUGGAAAACGUGAAGUCUGGGAAUCCGCAUGGGGAUGCUGUGGUGAAUUUGAAGACAGUACCGCAGUGAGUCCUAUGCACUUUACACAUUGCACGCCGGGACUGAUCCCGUACGCCGCUCGCUCUGUGAGCACCUUGCAGAUCUACUCCUUGAAGAUUGUUGGAACAGAUGGAAAGUUGAAGUUACCACUCCAUGUGUAUGGUGUUGUUGCUGCCCGAGACACCGUGGACUACAACCGCAACAUUCUCUUCUUUAGGCGAAGGGAAGACUGUCAAAAACUCACUCCAGAGGAUCCAUUUUUGCACUUGACUGGCCCGUCCCGUGCCAUCGUGGCUAUGGACCACGUUGACUUCGAAGUCCAACUGAAAGUAAAGGGUGCAACAAGGUCCAGCGACAGAGCAUUGAUCAGUCGUUGCUGCACUUAUUCUGGUGGUUAUCAUGAAGGUUUAGAUACCGCUCUCAUCAACAACUGCUUUUGCACGGUAGAGUUAAGCUUGGAGCGACUCACAAAGACAGUCCAGGCUACCAUCUUAAGUGUCCGUGUUGUUGAAGGGGGACCUUGGCCUUUUGAAUAUGGUGGUCGGAUUGUGUGCUCCUCACCACCACAGGAAGUUAUGGACUCCCUGGCCAGGCAAGUUGUGUUGGUUGAUUCUCGUUCUUCUGAUGGUGGAGAAAUGCCAAUGGGCACAGAUGGCUACCUUGAUCUGUCAAGGCAUGUUGUUUCUGUAGAACUGGAAGAAAGCCUGCAAUUUGUUAUACAAGCCUACUCGCAGUCUGGUGAUGCUAUUGCUAGACAAGGUCGUGUCAAGUUCAGGGCCGAAUACUGCAAUGUAAGUCGAGGUAUAUGUGAGAUUGGUGACUCUAAGGUGGAGAUUACUGUUGCUUGGUCCAAACUUGUUACCAAAAGGAUGGAUAUCCUCUUAGAAGGACAUGUUUGA
rnacentral:rRNA from 1 species